AACGAACGCUGGCGGCAGGCUUAACACAUGCAAGUCGAACGCAUCCUUCGGGGUGAGUGGCAGACGGGUGAGUAACGCGUGGGAACGUGCCCUUCAGUUCGGGAUAACCCAGGGAAACUUGGGCUAAUACCGGAUACGUGCGAGAGCAGGAAGAUUUAUCUCUGAAGGAUCGGCCCGUGUUUGAUUAGCUAGGUGGUGGGGUAAUGGCCCACCAAGGCGACGAUCAGUAGCUGGUCGGAGAGGAUGAUCAGCCACAUUGGGACUGAGACACGGCUCAAGUUCCUACGGGAGGCAGCAGUGGGGAAUAUUGGACAAUGGGCGCAAGCCUGAUCCAGCCAUGCCGCGUGAGUGAUGAAGGCCUUAGGGUUGUAAAGCUCUUUCGUCCGGGACGAUAAUGACGGUACCGAAAGAAGAAGCCCCGGCUAACUUCGUGCCAGCAGCCGCCGUAA
rnacentral:rRNA from 1 species